rnacentral:rRNA from 1 species
UAAUACAUGCAAGUCGAACGCGUUGGCCCAACUGAUUGAACGUGCUUGCACGGACUUGACGUUGGUUUACCAGCGAGUGGCGGACGGGUGAGUAACACGUAGGUAACCUGCCCCAAAGCGGGGGAUAACAUUUGGAAACAGAUGCUAAUACCGCAUAACAAUUUGAAUCGCAUGAUUCAAAUUUAAAAGAUGGCUUCGGCUAUCACUUUGGGAUGGACCUGCGGCGCAUUAGCUUGUUGGUAGGGUAACGGCCUACCAAGGCUGUGAUGCGUAGCCGAGUUGAGAGACUGAUCGGCCACAAUGGAACUGAGACACGGUCCAUACUCCUACGGGAGGCAGCAGUAGGGAAUCUUCCACAAUGGGCGCAAGCCUGAUGGAGCAACACCGCGUGAGUGAAGAAGGGUUUCGGCUCGUAAAGCUCUGUUGUUAGAGAAGAACGUGCGUGAGAGCAACUGUUCACGCAGUGACGGUAUCUAACCAGAAAGUCACGGCUAACUACGUGCCAGCAGCCGCGGUAAUACGUAGGUGGCAAGCGUUAUCCGGAUUUAUUGGGCGUAAAGCGAGCGCAGGCGGUUUGAUAAGUCUGAUGUGAAAGCCUUUGGCUUAACCAAAGAAGUGCAUCGGAAACUGUCAGACUUGAGUGCAGAAGAGGACAGUGGAACUCCAUGUGUAGCGGUGGAAUGCGUAGAUAUAUGGAAGAACACCAGUGGCGAAGGCGGCUGUCUGGUCUGCAACUGACGCUGAGGCUCGAAA